GAUGAACGCUGACAGAAUGCUUAACACAUGCAAGUCUUUGGCGAAUCUGUGCUUGCACAGGCUAGCCAAGGCGGACGGGUGAGUAACGCGUAAAGAACUUGCCCUGCAGACAGGGAUAACAGACGGAAACGACUGAUAACACCUGAUACAGUUGCCGGCACGCAUGUGCCUGGCAAUGAAAAGAGAUGCUGCAGGAGAGCUUUGCGUCCUAUUAGCUUGUUGGUGAGGUGACGGCUCACCAAGGCGAUGAUAGGUAGCCGGCCUGAGAGGGUGAACGGCCACAAGGGGACUGAGGUACGGCCCUUCCUCCUACGGGAGGCAGCAGUGGGGAAUAUUGGACGAUGGGGGCAACCCUGAUCCAGCAAUUCUGUGUGCACGAAGAAGGUUUUCGGAUUGUAAAGUGCUUUCAGCAGGGAAGAAGAAAGUGACGGUACCUGCAGAAGAAGCGACGGCUAAAUACGUG
rnacentral:rRNA from 1 species